rnacentral:rRNA from 1 species
AGGAUUAACGCUGGCGGCGUGCCUAACACAUGCAAGUCGAACGAGGUAGCAAUACCUAGUGGCAGACGGGUGAGUAGCGCGUGGUCAACCUACCGUUGAGUGGGGGAUAACUAGCCGAAAGGUUAGCUAAUACCGCAUACGUCUCCGAGGGGCAUCCCUUGGCGAUAAAAGGAGCAAUCCGCUCGAUGACGGGACCGCGUCCCAUUAGCUAGUUGGUGGGGUAACGCCUACCAAGGCGUCGAUGGGUAGCUGGUUUGAGAGAGCGACCAGCCACACUGGGACUGAGAUACGGCCCAGACUCCUACGGGAGGCAGCAGUGAGGAAUUUUCCGCAAUGGGCGAAAGCCUGACGGAGCGACGCCGCGUGUGGGAAGAAGGCCUUCGGGUCGUAAACCACUGUCGAAGGGGAAGAUAAUGACGGUACCCUUGGAGGAAGCCCCGGCUAACUACGUGCCAGCAGCCGC